GAUGAACGCUGGCGGCGUGCCUAAUACAUGCAAGUCGAGCGAACAGACGAGGAGCUUGCUCCUCUGACGUUAGCGGCGGACGGGUGAGUAACACGUGGAUAACCUACCUAUAAGACUGGGAUAACUUCGGGAAACCGGAGCUAAUACCGGAUAAUAUAUUGAACCGCAUGGUUCAAUAAUGAAAGACGGUUUUGCUGUCACUUAUAGAUGGAUCCGCGCCGCAUUAGCUAGUUGGUAAGGUAACGGCUUACCAAGGCAACGAUGCGUAGCCGACCUGAGAGGGUGAUCGGCCACACUGGAACUGAGACACGGUCCAGACUCCUACGGGAGGCAGCAGUAGGGAAUCUUCCGCAAUGGGCGAAAGCUUGACGGAGCAACGCCGCGUGAGUGAUGAAGGUCUUCGGAUCGUAAAACUCUGUUAUUAGGGAAGAACAAAUGUGUAAGUAACUAUGCACGUCUUGACGGUACCUAAUCAGAAAGCCACGGCUAACUACGUG
rnacentral:rRNA from 1 species